AACGUAGGAGUCUAGCGUUAUCCGAAUUUACUGGGCGUAAAGCGCGUGUAGGCGGUUCGGUAAGUUGGAUGUGAAAGCUCCUGGCUCAACUGGGAGAGGUCGUUCAAUACUGUCGGACUCGAGGAUGGUAGAGGGAGGUGGAAUUCCCGGUGUAGUGGUGAAAUGCGUAGAUAUCGGGAGGAACACCAGUGGCGAAAGCGGCCUCCUGGACCAUUCCUGACGCUCAGACGCGAAAGCUAGGGGAGCGAACGGG
rnacentral:rRNA from 1 species